AUUGAACGCUGGCGGCAGGCCUAACACAUGCAAGUCGAGCGGAUGAAGGGAGCUUGCUCCUGGAUUCAGCGGCGGACGGGUGAGUAAUGCCUAGGAAUCUGCCUGGUAGUGGGGGAUAACGUCCGGAAACGGGCGCUAAUACCGCAUACGUCCUGAGGGAGAAAGUGGGGGAUCUUCGGACCUCACGCUAUCAGAUGAGCCUAGGUCGGAUUAGCUAGUUGGUGGGGUAAAGGCCUACCAAGGCGACGAUCCGUAACUGGUCUGAGAGGAUGAUCAGUCACACUGGAACUGAGACGCGGUCCAGACUCCUACGGGAGGCAGCAGUGGGGAAUAUUGGACAAUGGGCGAAAGCCUGGUCCAGCCAUGCCGCGUGUGUGAAGAAGGUCUUCGGAUUGUAAAGCACUUUAAGUUGGGAGGAAGGGCAGUAAGUUAAUACCUUGCUGUUUUGACGUUACCAACAGAAUAAGCACCGGCUAACUUCGUG
rnacentral:rRNA from 1 species